UACAGAGGGGGCUAGCGUUAUUCGGAAUUAUUGGGCGUAAAGGGCGCGUAGGCGGCCAUGCGUGUCUUCCGUGAAAUCCCUCGGCUUAACUGAGGACGUGCGGAAGAAACUGCAAGGCUCGAGUCCGGGAGAGGGGGGUGGAAUUCCCAGUGUAGCGGUGAAAUGCGUAGAUAUUGGGAGGAACACCGGUGGCGAAGGCGGCCCCCCUGGACCGGAACUGACGCUGAGGCGCGAAAAGCGUGGGUAGCAAACGGGG
rnacentral:rRNA from 1 species